rnacentral:tRNA from 1 species
GCCUGGCUGGCUCAGUUGGUAGAGCAUGUGACCCUUGAUCUCAGGAUCAUGAGUUCAAACCCCACGUUGGGUG